GAAAUGCGAUACCUGGUGUGAAUUGCAGAAUCCCGCGAACCAUCGAGUCUUUGAACGCAAGUUGCGCCCGAGGCCUUCUGGCCGAGGGCACGCCUGCCUGGGCGUCACGCCAAACACGCUCCCACCCCACUAAACAUGGGGCGGGAUGCGGCAUGUGGCUCCCCGUCUCGCAAGGGGCGGUGUGCCGAAGAUCUGGCUGCCGGUGUAUCGUGCCGGACACAGCGCGUGGUAGGCGAUCUCGCUAUACUAAACGCAGUGCAUCCGGGGCGUAGCCAACGCAAUGCCCUCAUGGACCCUAUAAACGGAGCGCACGACGCUUCUACCGCGACCCCAGGUCAGGCGGGACUACCCGCUGAAUUUAA
rnacentral:misc_RNA from 1 species